GGCUGUGAUGCGGGGGGGGCCGACCCGAUGACGUGCGGGGCCGUGGGCGGAGCCCGGGCCGCUGACGUGCGGGCGCUAACGUGACGGCGCUUCCGGUUCGGGUGCCGGCGGUGCCGCCGCUCCCUCGGCGGGCGGAGUGUGGGGCUCGGGCACCCGGCGGCAUCGGGGCGGGCGCUGGGGCCGCGCGGCGCUGCCGCUGCUGCUCCGGGCUGCUGCCGGGGCUCCCGUGCCGCCGGCCGUGCGCGGGAGGGCGGUGCGGGGAUUUCCCCGCGCUGAGGGGAACCGGCCCCGGCGCCUCCCGAACCCGCCGCUCCGGCGCUGACAGGGAGUUUCUAUCCAGCGUAGGCAGAGAAUUCUUUACACCUAUGUCCUGGAUGUGUGGAUGUCCCGAUUGAGGGCAGUGAUGGCUUUCAUGAAGAAAUCUUUAAAUGAAGACAGGAUUAUCCAAACAUUUCCCUUCCCUGCUGUUGUCCCUGCUGCAUUAGAAGUUACUGCUUCAGCCUGAAGAUGGAACAGGUGUUUUAUUAUCUUCUGUGCAAGCGAAAGGGGUGCAGAUCCAUGGUGUUUCCUCUUCAAGAGAGGCAUUAAAGCUCUGUAGGUGCUUCUGCCCUUUUUCCCUGGCCCUAAAGAGAAGAGACACCGUCCCUGCAUGGACCAUCUGGCUUCUGUCACAGUGCUUUUAGGACAGUGUGGAGAUCAGGAGAGGAAGGUGGUUUCCAUGGCUGUAGGCAGCUCUUCCCAAGAUCAGGGAGAGAGGACUGCGCUGUUAAGUAUGAAAUGGAUGCAUUUUCCAAAGAAAGCUUCUUGAGAAAUGAAGCUCUGGUGGCAAAUAUUGCAAAACUUUGUGGGUUUUUUUGCUUUAAACUUUUGGUAAAAUCAGCCAGUUCUUAAGUUUACACUGACAAAUUACUUCUAAAUUACCUCUACUUUUACCAGGUAUUUGUUUAACACAAGGCAUUGGC